rnacentral:rRNA from 1 species
CCUACGGGGGGCUGCAGUAAGGAAUAUUGGUCAAUGGAGGAAACUCUGAACCAGCCAUCCCGCGUGAAGGAUGAAGGGGCUCUGCCUUGUAAACUUCUUUUGUCUGGGGCGAAAAAGCUCGAUUUAUCGAGAACUGACGGUACCAGACGAAUAAGCAACGGCUAACUCCGUGCCAGCAGCCGCGGUAAUACGGAGGGUGCAGGCGUUAUCCGGAAUCACGGGGGCGUAAGGGUCUGAGUGCGGCUGUGGUGAAAGGCUGGGGCUGAACCAUGGAAUUGCCAUUGAUACUGCAGAGCUUGAAUGAGGUUGAGGUUGGCGGAAUGUGACAUGUAGCGGUGAAAUGCUUAGAUAUGUCAUGGAACACCGAUUGCGAAGGCAGCUGACUGGACCUAUAUUGACGCUGAGGCACGAAAGCGUGGGGAGCGAACAGGAUUAGAUACCCCAGUAGUC